rnacentral:rRNA from 1 species
GACGAACGCUGGCGGCGUGCUUAACACAUGCAAGUCGAACGGAGAAGGCGGAGCUUGCUUCGGUGCUCGAGUUGCGAACGGGUGAGUAACGCGUAGGUAACCUGCCUUGUAGUGGGGGAUAACUACUGGAAACUGUGGCUAAUACCGCAUAGUAGCAGCUGCCGCAUGACAUUGGCUUAAAAGGUGCAAUGGUAUCGGUACGAGUUGGACCUGCGUUGGAUUUGGUAGUUGGUGAGGUAACGGCUCGCCAAGGCAAGGAUACAUCGCCGCCGGGAGAGGGGGAUCGGCCAGACUGGGAUGGAGACAGGCCCCAGACGGCUACGGGAGGCACCAGUAGGGAAUCUUCGGCAAUGGACGGGAGUCUGACCGAGCAAGGCCGCGUGAGGGAAGAAGGUUUUCGGAUCGGAAAGCUCUGUUGUAAGAGAAGAACGAGUGUGAGAGUGGAAAGUACACACUGUGACGGUAACUUACCAGAAAGGGACGGCUAACUACGUG